CUACAGAGGGUGCAAGCGUUAUUCGGAAUUACUGGGCGUAAAGCGCGCGUAGGCGGAUGAUUAAGUCAGUUGUGAAAGCCCUGGGCUCAACCUAGGAACUGCAUCUGAUACUGGUCGUCUAGAGUUUAAGAGAGGGAAGUGGAAUUCCAGGUGUAGCAGCGAAAUGCGUAGAUAUCUGGAGGAACAUCAGUGGCGAAGGCGACUUCCUGGCUUAAAACUGACGCUGAGGUGCGAAAGCGUGGGUAGCGAACGGGAUUAGAAACCCCAGUAGUCC
rnacentral:rRNA from 1 species